CAAGACAUGAAGUCAGGUCAGCAAACCCGCUGAAUUUAAGCAUAUAAGUAAGCGGAGGAAAAGAAACUAAAUAGGAUUCCCUUAGUAAUGGCGAAUGAACAGGGAUCAGCUCAGGAUGGAAAUCGGGGCCCCGCGGCCUUGAAUUGUAAUCUGGAGAUGCACCACCAACUGGGGCACAGAUGUAAGCCUCUUGGAAAAGAGCAUCAGUGAGGGUGAGAAUCCCGCAUGGCAUCUGUAGUCCUCAGUGUACGGUGUGCAUUCUAAGAGUCACACUCCUCGGGACUGGAGUGCAAAUUGGGUGGUAAAUUUCAUCUAAAGCUAAAU
rnacentral:rRNA from 1 species